ensembl:lncRNA
UUCGCAAUCCCUCUUUUUUCUGCAAGUGCAUCUGUGGGAGUUGUGCUAUAUUUUGUGUCUGUGGCUCUGUGGGAUCCCUGAGGUGUCACUGACAACAAAGCAUCGCCUACAAAGAAUCCGACAAAAUCAAUGACAAGACCCGGUAGAAAAAGGGGUAUUGGAAAGAGAGUGUGAUGCCGCUGAGUGAGGAGGACAAGUGGUGUGGAGGAAAGCUGUACCUUCGACAGAGCGGAACGGCCUGAUGAAUUGAAUGUCUUUUAAAGCUAUUCUGCGAAAGAGAGGGGGCUGUAUUUAAACAUAAUUCACUUAGGAUUUUCAAGCGUUUCCUAGGUGACAGUAAAAUCAUUUAAGGAUAGUGAAUACUAAAAAAAAGCGUUGACUCUGCAGAAAUGCUCUGGCAUACCUUCACACACUGAAGUCAGAGUGAACCGGUUUACAUCUUCAAGAGAGUUUAGCCAAG